rnacentral:lncRNA from 1 species
CAUCAUCCAAUUCUGCACUUCAGGGGGAGAUACGACGUGAAGAACAGAAUUGGAGCAACUUGGCAAACAAACUAAUUCUCCCAUGUACAGAAAUGAUUGAUCAUCCCGAGUCUGGAGCACGAGAUUACUCUCUGUUGAAAAGUGACCAAUCGCCCAUUCAUAGCGAUCAAUUGCCUGACCCACCUGAUCCAUGCGAAGAUAUUUCUGAUCCGAGUCCCACACCUACAGACAAUACAGAAC